GACGAACGCUGGCGGCGUGCCUAAUACAUGCAAGUUGAGCGCUGAAGGUUGGUACUUGUACCAACUGGAUGAGCAGCGCACGGGUGAGUAACGCGUGGGGAAUCUGCCUUUGAGCGGGGGACAACAUGUGGAAACGAAUGCUAAUACCGCAUAAAAACUUUAAACACAAGUUUUAAGUUUGAAAGAUGCAAUUGCAUCACUCAAAGAUGAUCCCGCGUUGUAUUAGCUAGUUGGUGAGGUAAAGGCUCACCAAGGCGAUGAUACAUAGCCGACAUGAGAGGGUGAGCGGCCACAUUGGGACGGAGACACGGCCCAAACUCAUACGGGAGGCAGCAGUAGGGAAUCUUCGGCAAUGGACGAAAGUCUGACCGAGCAACGCCGUGUGAGUGAAGAAGGUUGUCGGAUCGUAAAACUCUGUUGGUAGAGAAGAACGUUGGUGAGAGUGGAAAGCUCAGCAAGUGACGGUAACUACCCAGAAAGGGACGGCUAACUACGUG
rnacentral:rRNA from 1 species